rnacentral:misc_RNA from 1 species
UGACAUCAACAUACACCAUGCCAGGGUCGCUGGUAACCCGUGGCUGGUGACCUGUGGCCUGUGAGUUGUGACCGAAGAUGCAGAACUUCACCGGCGGCUCGGCGGCCGUGCCGGUCACCCAGGUGGAACUGACCCUGUCAUGUCGACACCUGGCGGACAUGGACGUGUUCUCCAAGUCGGACCCGAUGGUGGUCGUCUCGGUGGCACCGUUCGGCUCGUCAGCACGCGACAGACGCUGGGACGAGUACAAGCGCACCGAGGUGGUGCAGGAUAACCUGAACCCCGACUUUGCCACCAAGGUGCCCAUCGCCUACCGGUUCGAGGAGCAGCAGUUUCUGCGGUUCGACGUGUACGACGUGGACUCGUCGUCUGCCCGGCUGGAGGAGCACGACUUCCUGGGCCGGCGCGAGUGCACGCUCGGCGAGCUGGUGUCGGCGCGCGUCUCCGAGCUGCGGCUGCAGGGCGGCCCGCCCAGCGGCGCGCAGCCGGCCACGCUGAUCGUGCACGCCGAGGAGAUGCUGGGCUCCAAGGAGGAGGCGGUGCUGCAGUUCUGCGGCAGGAAGCUGGACAAAAAGGACUGGCUGUGGGGCAAGUCGGACCCGUACCUGGAGCUGUUCAGGUCGACCGAGGAGGGUCAGUGGGUGCUCGUCUCGCGCACGGAGGUGCUCAAACGGACGCUGAACCCCGACUGGCGGCCGGUGACCGUGUCGGUGGGCUCGCUGUGUAACGGCGACUACCAGCGCAACAUCCGUGCCCUCUGCUGGGACUGGAACGCCAGCGGCACGCCCGACCUCAUCGGCGAGUGCUUCUUCACGCUGCAGCAGCUGCGCGACGCCACCAAACCGGCCGCCUUCGACUGCAUCAACAAGGAGAAACAGGCGCGGAAGGGCUCCUCGUACCGAAACUCCGGCCAGAUCAUCCUGCAGAGCUGCCAGAUCCGCGUGCAGCACACGUUCCUGGACUACAUCCAGGGCGGCACCGAGCUGGCCUGCACCAUCGCCAUCGACUUCACAGCGUCCAACGGUAACCCCAUGCAGCCGGACUCGCUGCACUACCUGGGCCGGGACGCCGCCGGGCGUAUCAGUAACCCGUACGUGACGGCGCUACGGGCGGUCGGUAACAUCAUCCAGGACUACGACAGCGACAAACAGUUCCCCGUGCUCGGCUUCGGCGCGCGCGUGCCGCCGGCCGGCAUCGUCAGCCACGAGUUCUUCGUCAACAUCGGAGCCGAGACGCCGUUCUGCUACGGAAUCGAAGGGGUGGUGGCCGCCUACGAGCGCUGCCUGCCCCAGAUCCAGCUGUACGGACCGACCAACUUCGCCCCGGUGAUCCAGCACGUGGCAAACUUUGCCAGCCGGUACCGCGACGGCAGCCAGUACUUCAUCCUGCUCAUCAUCACCGACGGUGUCAUCACCGACAUGCCGCAGACCAAACAGGCGAUUGUGAGCGCCUCCAGCCUGCCGCUGUCCAUCAUUAUCGUGGGCGUGGGCGGCGCCGAGUUCGACGCCAUGGAGGAGCUGGACGGUGACGAGGUGCGUCUGACGGCCGGCGGCCGCGCCGCGCAGCGCGACAUCGUGCAGUUCGUGCCGCUGCGCCGGCUGUCGGGCGGCGACCCGGCCGCCGUCAGGACCCGGCUGGCGCGCGAGGUGCUGGCAGAGGUGCCGGCACAGUUCCUCGGCUACAUGCGCAGCGCCGGCAUCCAGCCGCAGCCGCCGCGCGCCGCGCCCGUUCCCCUGCCGCCCGACCCGCAGCUGGUCUGAGGCCGAUCGAACGGAGACCUGACCUGACGUGGAUAUUAUGGGCGCUCCCCGACCUCUGGGUGACUGGCAUCCCGUGUGUCCAAUGUGUCCGGUGUGUCCUGUCUGGUGUGCCCCCGGCUCCCCUUGUACCCACCCCACCCCACCCCGGGGGUCCUCGCCAGACUAGGGGCGGCGCUCGCCCGCUGGGCUGGGCCCUGUUUCACCGGUGAUAGCAGCAAGCUGCUAUCACGUUUCGCGAGCUGACGUCAUGUCGUGACGCCAGAAUUGCCCCUUACGUCAGCAGUAUGACGUCAUCACAUUACGUCAGCUCGCGCAAUUUGAUAGCAGCGUGCUGCUAUCACCGGUGAAACAGGGCCCUGGACUCCUGUGUGCGUGUCUGUGUGCGUGUGGGCGGGGACGCUGUCAAGUCGGGACUGCCGGCGGUCAGUUUAAGUCCCCGACCUGUCAGAUGUGCAUUUGGGUUUCCGUGGAUGAUGUACUUAGUAAUAUCGAAAUGUGAUGCAGCCAAGGGAUAUUGUUGAAGAGGCCAUAUAGCUGUUGUCCUGUGUGCUUAAUCAGACGAUUUUAUUUACUUGUUUUAUUUUUGUCGUGGAUGAAUGCUGACUGUGGUCCGAUUUGAAUGGGUUGUUGUUACGAUAUUUGUUUAAAUGUCAGCCUUUAUUAAUCUGGGACGUACCGAUACUGCUCGCCACUGUCGCUCAAUUUGCAGCCGUUUCGCACAGCUCGCGCUGCCGUUUAUAAUUCGAGGGUCCAACACGCGUCUGCUGCGCACAGAUGUGACGCGCCUUAAUCACUUCAGUAGCUGCCCCGCUGCCCGUGCUCCGUGCUCCGCAGGUGACCUGUGAGGUCAGAUAGAGCCCGCUAGCGGUGUGCCAUCUACCGUUUGUAGCCAAGUAGCUUGAUGAAGGGCCUAGACCCGUCAGCGGGACCCCGUGACCAUACUCUCAGACUCACCCCAGGGCAGUGGUGUCUUCAUGUGGCGUGCCUCAGAUGGGGCGGGCUCUCGGGGCACGCCGCCGCCGCUAAGGUCACUCACACACCCUCGGCUAACGCCACAAACUCAAAUACGCACCGAGCCCGCGCCCGAUGUUGCUGUGCCAACCGUAGCCCUAAGUGAGAAACCUUGCUGGUUUUUGCAACGGCUGAGCUUCGUUGUGAGGUUAAAUUUAGGUGUUGGUCGACUGGACAUAUUCCUACCAGUGGCACACGUCUCUUUAUUGAGGCUGGCUACGCAAAAUCACCCUGUGUUACAUAGGGUUGAGGUCGGAGUCAUUUCAUCUGAUGAAUUCCUUUUUGUGGAGCAUGAAAAUAGUCCAACUUCUAUCAAACUUGUCGGAUAAACUAGAAUUAUAUAUAGAAUAAAUUCGUAGUUGGUGAUUUCAGUAGAACCGUUUUUCCACAGCUCUGUGACUGGGCUUCUGUGCGUUUCCACGAGUUUCCAUCUAUAGCAUAAUUGCUGCGUCGUUCAAAUGUAUCCCGUUGCCGUCAUACAAGGGCGGUGGGUGACCCCGCGGGAUCUCCCUCACCUAAUUGGGAAGGGUAUGACGCAGCGCAGCUCCGUACCGGUACUAGCCGUAUUUAAUGGAGUACACCUGCUGCUGCUGGGAUGCUGCUGGGGUGAAAGAAUUCUGUUGCCUUGUGGGGUACACACGUCCGUGUCUGUGGGAGUAUAUGUCUGUCUGUUCGUAUCCCCACUUUCCAACACUACCCCGUGGUCAGUACAAGGUUGUGUGUACUUAUAGCAUUGCUUUGGUGUCUCGAUGUGCAAUAGGGUGUGCUUUGAUGGAUUGUUGUCGCUCGCGUGCCGUGUGUGUGAGCCCGCGGGUGUGCGUCCCGACCCAGCCCUCCCGGCCGGCCCGCCAGUCCUCUCGCUCCAGCCGGGCCCCGACGAUGGACGGGUCGCCGCCGCCGGCCGCUGCAGCUGCCCGCGGUGAGCUCUGUUUACGCUUUGGCCGCUGCGGCGUCUGGGUGCUUCCUCAACGCUCUGAAUGUGUGAGCAGAGCUGUGAUUGACCUGUCCGCCAGCCUCAACCCGUUGACGUGCCGCAGCGCAGGCGGAGGCUGUUGUCAUGUCUCGUCAGAACGCUGACUGGUGUGUUAUGUGGGCACUGAGUUAACCGGCUGCUUUCAUGUCUCGCCAUGGAGCGCUGUGAUCUGUUUGGACCGCGGGCUGCAGCUGCCCCUUCUCGGGGCGUUUGGCGGCGCUCUUUCGCACUUGCCUGUCUAGCCACGCGACCAGUUACUCCCUAUUCCUCAUAUUCUUGAUUCACAUGUAUUUUUGCUACUGCUUUACUGCGUCGGCGUGCGCCACCCGCUCGCUGUGUCGCGCAGAUGAAUCGAACUACGUGCGCUUUAACUGCCUGCCUGUCAUUACCGUGCCUAUUACAGUUCACCUCAGGGACUGUGGGGCAUCAAUGGGGUUUCUGUGAAAUACACAUCAACGAAUCA